UCAGGAGAAGCAGAGGGGCUGCUGCAGUCACCAGGCUGUCGGUGUUGGCGUCCGAGCACGGCCAAAGCGUGCGGCCCAAGGAGCCAAGCGUUCUUAGGAGAAUGCUGACCAAGAAACAAGAGCCUGGUGAUGGCAGGAAAUUCCCAGCGGGCAAGGCAGACUUCCUUCAUACCCGAGGUGGAUUCUUAUCCCCAGAUGCAACCAGAUGAAUUCCAUGGCAGAGCGCCCCAUCCCAGGAAGUAAAGUUGGAUAUUAGCAGUCAAGGUGGUCCACUUGUAUUAUGCCGAGAGCCCUUCAGCAACUGGCCAACAGACCCUGUUCAUCGCUCUCGUGGGAAUUUGGGAAGCAGUACACAUGGCUCUGUGAUGAAGCCUUGUUCUUUUCCAUUUGAAGGUGUCACCUGGGUAGCCUUCAGGAACAGCCGUGGUUCGUAAUUCUGAAUCAGGUACUUUGAAGGAUUUCCCCUUUGCCCCAGUGACCACCAUAGUAUCCUUGCUUUUUGUGCACCCUGGUGGCAACCACUGAACAAUACUCUGCUCAGCUCCUGAAUCGAGGUUUUGGGCCAGUUCCUGUUUCUGGGCUUCCCUAACUGCUGCUACCAGCAUCUUUGCUUGUGCUUUCUGCUUUUCUUUAUCCCAUCUUUCUUAAAAAUGCAAUAAAUGACUUUGCUAGCA